UUGUAGUAGCAUGAUUUAUAAUCCUUUGGGUAUAUACCCAGUAAUGGGAUAGCUGGGUCAAAUGGUAAUUCUAGUUCUAGAUCCUUGAGGAAUCGCCACACUGUCUUCCACAAUGGUUGAACUAAUUUACACUCCCACCAACAGUGUAAAAGCGUUCCUAUUUGGGGAAUGAAGGAUUUUUAACUAAGGAAGCUAUGAGAAUGAAAGACCAAUAACAGAAAAGUACAGGGUAGAGGAAAUGUGGGAGUUUAUCGUGGUUUGAGAGAAGAAAGUAUGAUGGGGUAUGAUGAGAGACGAAGGCAUAAAUGGAGGUAGAGGUCAGAUCACGGUGGCCUGCAAGGUCCUAUAUACAAGUAGUCAAAAGGGCACGACAGGUUUUUGAGUAGGGAAGCAUAGUGGCCUUGUAUCGUCUUGCACCCCUUCCUUUUUCCCCUUCUGGCCACAGUCCUGCCCUUCAGACUGUCUGGUUCAAAAUGGAGCUGCCACCUUUUUACAGGCCCCACCUUCCUGGUCACAGUGAUUGGCCUGGGAGUGGGUGCCUGAUUUGGCUCGAUCAAAAUGAGCUGUUUCCUGGGACAUUUGAACUAAAGACCUGCAAGAUCUAGUCUCAGUUCGUCUCAAAGCUGCAUGUUGUCCAGUGUAACCAUAGGAACUGCCGAGAUUGUACGAGAUCAUGGGCUCUGGAAUCAGACAGUGUGAAUUCCAAUCCCUGCUCUAUUACAUAUCCAUUAUGAAACACUGAACAAACCACUUAAUCUCUUACAGGCUCAGCUUUCUCAUCACUGAACUGGAGAUACAGGUAAUAGUAAUAUCUACCCCUGGAGGUAUUUUUAAAUACUUCCACAGUACCUGACACGUGGUAAGUUUUAACAAUGCUGAUGGAGGAAACAUUUGGAUGUUUCCAGCCAAAUUGGAGGAAUCAACGAGUCUUGUCUACUGAUUAGAUAUAGAGGUCGGAAGAUGGAGGAUGGAGGUGAAGCCAAGAUGGCUCUAGGUAUCUGGCCUGAGCAAGAGAACUGACAACAGUUGGUAUUUGGGUUUGACUUGAAGGCAACUGUGGGCCAUCUAGAUGGAGAGAGGUACAGUGGCAUCUUGGAAUUUCUAAAAUAAAAUACAUAUGUAAUAUCUUUUAAAAGUCACCUGCCUGGAAAUGGGGACAAAUCCUUUACUUGGUGAUUUAUGUACAUUUGAUUGUCACAUCCACCUCACAAAGCAGGUAUUAUUAUCAUGCCCAUUUUAUAGAAGAAAAACAGGUUCAGAGAAGGUAAGUAACAUUCCCAAAUGGUAGAGCUUGUGAGUCUCAGAGGCAGGAUUUGAACCCGGGCCUGUCUGACCGGAGACCCAUCCUCUUUAUUAUAGAGUGUUUCUCCUGUGUUGCCUGGAAGUGUGAGUUAAAGCUGAGAGCAUGUGCCACGUGCUCCAGCCCUAACUCUUGUCAUUUAUUAUAUUGGACAAAUUACUUAUUUAUGCCUCAGUUUUGAUGUUAGAAGUGGAGGUAAUAAUAGGACUUUCUUCCUAGGAGUUCAUGAAAAUUUAAUAGUUAAUAUGUCCAGAGUGCAUAGAACAUGGUCUAUCACAUACUAAUGACAUCAUUAAAUGGGACAGGAUGGAGCCUUAUUUAUUUAUUUAUUUAAUUUGUGAGACAAGGUCUCACUCUGUUGCCCACGCUGGAGUACAGUGGCACAGUCUUGGCUCACUGCAGCCUCGACCUUCCCCAGGCUCAAGUGAUCCUCCCACCUCAGCCUCCUGAGUAGCUGGGACUACAGGCAAGCACCACCAUGCCUGGCUAAUUUUUGUACUUUUUGUAAACACAGGGUUUUGCCAUGUUGUCCAGGCUGGUCUCAAGCUCCUGGGCUCAAGCAAUCUGCCCACCUCGGCCUCCCAAAGUGUUGGGAUUACAGGAGUGAGCCACCACAUCUGGCCCAGGGUGGGACUUUAAACAGAAAAAGGACGUGAGCAUGGAGGUCUGGCCUGAGCAGGAGUGAACAAUGCUACAUUGAGGAGAGAACAUUAAAGGAGACCCAGCUCUUGGAGUGAGGCCUUAAGCUUCGGGAGUUGAAACAAUGACCUCCCAUUAAAACCCUUGGAGUCACAGGGAGAAACAGAUUUCUAGAAUUGGACCUAAAUCUGUUCAUUCUUAUUUUUCCUAUUUUUGGCUACCUGAAGAAACCAACAAUAUUUGUUCCCUGGGUAUUUUGAAGUUCACCAUAAAUAAUACCACUCGGUUUAGAAAACUGUGUAUUCAGUUCCUCAGAGAAUGGAUUAUCUAAUUACGUGUCUGUGUUUACAUGGAACAGGUAGUCCAAUCCACGAAAGUGUGAGAACCAUGAGCCUAGUCUCGACCUCAGGAGUUGCCUGAGGAAACUGAUGCUAAAAAUCCAAGUUGCAAAUCAAAAUAUUAGAAAAAUCAAGCCAUGCUCUAGACUUGGAAGCCCGACACUUAGAUCAUCUCUCUCUGAGCAGAGCCAGCUGUUGGCCCCCAUAGCUCUGUGUCAUUAUGCUGAACUCAGUUUCCCCUCAAGCAGGUGAAACUGCAGAUGGCAUAGGGCACAUAGCUGCAGACCUUGCUCAGACUGGACUCUGAAAGAUUUGGAACCUUAGGCAGAGAGGUGGAAAGGAGUUGGGGAGGCAGUGGCAAUGAUUUGAAAACUAUAACCAAUUUUCUCUCUCCUAGGAGUUGGAGACUUGGAAUCCCCUUUGGUGCAGAAACUAUUCCUUCAUGAGAAGAAGUCCUUAAAUAGGCUCUUUAGACAGGAGGCCACAUGUUGAAGGCAGCAGGGUCACAAGAUGGAAGAACCAGGGUCCCAGUAUCAUCGCUCCCUGCUUCAAGCUGCCAGGGGCAGCCUAACCCACAUGGCAUUAUGACAUAAGAAACAAAGUAACUAUUGUUUUAUUAAAUCAAUGAGAUAUUGGGCUUCUUGUUAUAGCAACUAGUAUAAAUUGCCCUGACUGAUACAUUAUGGAUUUAGAGUGCACUGUACUACAACUGUUUGUUGUAUUUUCAAAAUUGUGGUAUAACUGACUUACAAUAAACUUCAUAUAUUUAAAGAGUACUAUUUAAUAAGUUCAACAUAUUCAUAUAUCCAUGAAACCAUCACCACAAUCAAAAUAAGACACAUUUCCAUCAACUGAAAAAGUCUCCUCAUUCUCCUUUGAAAUCUCUUCUUCC
rnacentral:lncRNA from 10 species